UAUCCGAAGAGCUCGCGAUAAACAGGGGAACGGUCUCCAAUGGUGAUAUGUAGCUGCAGCAGAUGAUAUAGCCUGCAUCAUGGAAGAAAAAUGAAUGUAGUCACGGAUUGCAAAAACGAUGUCUAGUCUUGCGUUCAAAUGUAUCAUUGAAUGAAGCCUGCAUUUACUGUAUGAAUUCGAUAUUUACAGCUGAGGCAAUUUAGCUGCUAGCUAGGUCAAGUAAGCUCGAUGCUAAUUCGUUUAUUAGCCAGUGGAUGUUAGGAAUCAGGCUAGCUGACGCUAACUAGCAUGCUAGUUAACCAAUCCCGCCCAUCCAAAAUAAUAGUGGAACUUCGGCGUGUAUCUUCAGCGCGGUUAUCAAUGCCUUUUUGAAGAAAGAAGAAAUAGCUAAGCCAGUUAGCUAUCUAGCAAGCAUAUGAGAAGGUAUUGCAUUGAGAUUUCACCCAAUUUCCUCCACUUGAAGAAAACUGAACUGGCUGAGAUGGAUGAACAAAGUGUUGAGAGUAUUGCGGAGGUGUUUCGUUGUUUCAUCUGUAUGGAGAAGCUGCGGGACGCUCGGCUCUGCCCCCACUGCUCCAAACUCUGCUGUUUCAGCUGCAUAAGGCGCUGGUUGACCGAGCAGAGAGCCCAAUGCCCACACUGUCGGGCACCACUGCAGCUGCGGGAGCUGGUGAACUGCCGUUGGGUUGAGGAAGUUACCCAGCAGCUGGACACCCUGCAGCUCUGCAACCUCUCCAAACACGAGGAGAACGACAAGGACAAGUGUGAGAACCACCAUGAGAAGCUCAGUGUGUUCUGCUGGACCUGUAAGAAGUGCAUCUGCCACCAGUGUGCUCUGUGGGGAGGCAUGCAUGGAGGCCACACCUUCAAGCCUCUGGCUGAGAUCUACGAGCAGCACGUGACCAAGGUGAACGAGGAGGUGGCCAAGCUCCGCCGACGCCUCAUGGAACUUAUCAGCCUGGUGCAGGAAGUGGAGAGGAAUGUGGAAGCAGUGCGAGGGGCCAAGGACGAGCGAGUGCGAGAGAUCCGUAAUGCAGUAGAGAUGAUGAUCGCCCGUCUGGACAACCAGCUCAAGAACAAACUCCUCACCCUCAUGGGUCAGAAGACCUCCCUCACCCAGGAGACGGAGCUACUGGAGUCUCUCCUACAAGAGGUGGAACAUCAGCUGCGCUCCUGCAGUAAGAGCGAGUUGAUCUCCAAGAGCCCAGAGAUCCUGCUCAUGUUCCAGCAGGUUCACCGCAAGCCCAUGCAGUCGUUUGUUACCACCCCAGUCCCCCCAGACUUCACCAGUGAGCUGGUUCCUGCCUAUGACUCAAGCACUUUCGUUCUGGAAAACUUCAGCACCCUGAGACAAAGGGCAGAUCCAGUCUACAGCCCACCACUCCAGAUAUCUGGCCUUUGCUGGAGACUCAAGGUUUACCCAGAUGGCAACGGUGUGGUGCGGGGCAAUUACCUGUCAGUUUUCUUGGAACUGUCUGCAGGACUCCCUGAAACGUCGAAGUACGAGUACCGCGUGGAGAUGGUCCACCAGGCCUCCAGCGACCCCACUAAGAACAUCAUCAGGGAGUUUGCAUCAGACUUUGAGGUGGGGGAGUGCUGGGGAUACAACCGCUUCUUCAGACUGGACCUGCUGGCCAGUGAGGGCUACCUCAACAUGCAGACUGACACUCUAGUCCUCAGGUACCAGGUGCGUUCGCCCACCUUCUUCCAGAAGUGCAGAGACCAAUACUGGUACAUCAGCCAGCUGGAGUCAGCCCAGUCCAGCUACAUCCAGCAGAUCAACAAUCUCAAAGAGAGGCUGGCCAUUGAGCUGAUCUGUAGGCAGCAGUCUCGCAGCUCGUCCCCUCCUAACCGGCGUCUGGGCCCCUCGACCUCGGAGAGAGACUCCCACUCAGGGAAAGGCCCCGUGGCUGAGGACAGCUGCCAGACCACUGAGACCAAAGAGGAGGAGGAAGAGAAGACUCAACAUGAUGACUCCAAUGAGCUGUCUGACGGGGAUUUGGAGGUGGACUGUCUGACGGGGGAUGAGGAGGUGAACCCUCUGGAUGGCAGCAGCACCUCUGGCAGCUCCACGGCAACCAGCAACACCGAGGAGAACGACAUCGACGAGGAGACCAUGUCUGGGGAGAAUGAUGUGGAGUUCAGUAGGAACCUGGAGAUGGAGGAGGGAGAACUGCCUGUUGACGUGGCAGGAGCAGCAGGAAGCUCUAACCCCGGGGCCAGGUGUCUGAGGCGUGGUGGAGGUCUCUCCUCCACUGGCAGCAACAACAGUUUGCUAGAAAUCGACCCUGUCAUCCUCAUCCAGCUACUGGAUCUGAAGGAGCGCAGCAGUGUGGAGUCCCUGUGGGGCCUUCAACCCAGACCCCCUGCCUCCCUGCUGCACAGCCAAGUCCAAGUCCACUCCAGGAAGGAGCGGGGUGAGCGCAGGCCUCAGACAGUGCGGCGGGGAGCCCCAGACUCUGGGGUCCUGAUUCGGCUCAAGGCACAGAUGGCCGAGGUGCGCAGUAAGAUGUCGGAUGUCAAGUGUCAGCUGGAGGCACGGGGAGAGACCAAGGCAGGGCCCUCCAGCGGGGCCACAGGGGUGGAGCAGGGGCCCUCUUACCACUCAGAGCUAGGGCCCAGCAGGAAGUCCAUAGAGCUAGAUCUGAUGGGGAAAGGACCCGGGGUCUCCAGACACUGUCGCUCUGGAGGGAAGAAGGCCUCAUCUCCCAAGCAGGAUGGGAGCAGGCUGGGCCUAAGGAGGGCUGCAGACGUAGUUGAGAAGGAGCUGAGAGGCCAGAGCGGUGGAGAGUCGUCCAGCGACCAAAGCCUCUUUCCCAGGGGCACCUCCAACGUAUCAGAGGGAGCCCUGAAGCCACGCAGCGCCCACAGCUCCCCUCCCUAUCUGGGCAGCUCGUCAUCCUGCUCCGAAAACAAACCCUGCAGCUCCAAACACGACCAGGAGCAGCUCUACGGGUCCGACCUGUACGCUCUGGAGGUCCUCAGCGGCAUCUCCACCGCCACCAUGACACGACCCAGGACCAAGCCCAUGGGGGCCGGCCUGCUGACGGACAGCUCUCUGGACUGGGACUCCGAGCCGGCUGAGAUCCACCAGUCACUGCUCUCCCUGGCAGAGGAACCCUCUUCAUGCCCCAACGAAGCAUUACUCCUAAUGAACUCUGGGAUGAGUCCGUGUCUGUAGGGAGAGCGAGUGGGUGUCUACUUGGCACUGGUGGUGUUUCCCUUACCUGUCAUGUUGUCCAGAAGCGGACGGUGGUACUGCUGCCAGGUAUGAGUAGUGAUAGUGAGAUCGACUGUGACACGGAGAACGAGGACGAGGUGGUGGCCCUGGAGGCUGGAGAUUGUCGCUACGACACCCCGGCACUGCCCUGCGCAGGGGACCAGUUGAUCUCUGACCUAAGCUUCACCACAGGAGAGAGGUGAUUCCCCUCCAAUUUGGACACCACAGCCGGUCUAAACAGUGGCAAUUGCUGUGUGGGAACUGGAUCGUAGUGUAUAUAACUUUAAUGCACAUGAGCAUUUGUGUAGACACUUGCAUGCUCUCAUUCUAGUCACUGACAACCCCAAAUGCUACGAGAAUGCUACAACUCAUUAAAUAAGCACCUUGAUGAUGACGACUAACUGCAAAAUGUGUCACAAUAUAUUUGGUCACAUUCAUUAAUCUUUUCAUUUAAAUGUAAAUUUUAUGAAAUAUGAGUAUGGGGCGAUGAACAAUAUAUUUGCGAGAGACAUAUAUUUCUUAGGCUGUUGGUGUGAACGAAAAUAUGGAGUUAUAAUAUCUAACUAAUGAGGUCAUGGUUAACGUUUGCAAUGUCUACAUACUCAGAUUGGGCUUUGGUCUGGGCAUUAUGAGCUAAGGUGAAUUUUUAGAAAGAAGCACGGGGCACCUGCUUCACAACAGAAAGAGAACAUCAGAAGCUCUCUGCCUUUCUGAUUCAAUGAGGUGCUAUUGAUGUAUUUGUGUGGAGGAGCACAGUCAGGCAGGUAUCACACAGUGCUGUGAUGAACAUUCAAUUCUGGUUAACAGUCUAAACAAAUGCCUUGAAAUGAAGUGGACACAUUUACAACCUUAAUUCCUGUAUCAACAUCGCUUAAAACGUGUUAGGAACCCUUUACGUUAACUGAAGGAAAGGCGGGGCUGAAACAUGAGGAAAAUUUGCCCAAAGUCCCCUCUGUGUAAAUCUUGUCAAUGUAAACUACUGUAUUUCAUCAACUUCUCCCGUUAGAUUGGAGUUGCUUUCCCCCCCGGUAAAUUGUUCAGAACAAGAACCAGUUUUGCUGCUGUGUAGACAGACAUUGAAGAGUGGAUCAAUGGUACGUCCUCUGGCCUGUGUAAAAGAUUGCUACAUUUUGAUUUAGUAUUGAGUGAAUUCUUAGUAGGGAAAUAGGCAUGACUCUUGCUCACAGUAUUGAGUGGAUUCUGACUGAAUUGAUUAUUAACAAUUCUUGAUUGACGGUCUGGGCUUCAAGUGCUCUUUGACCUUGUCUCUUCAUUGCACAUCAAAGCUGACAUACAUUAUUCGUACAUACAGGGUCCUUUCUUUCAUGAAGAAGUGUUUUCUGCAGCUCUUGUCAAGAUGAGCUCUGUAACAUAGGCACAUGUGUAGGUGUUUUGAGUUUUCUUCCCUGAUGGCAUUUGUGUCCACCCUGUAAUUUCCAUCUUCACUCUUUCCUUGUGCUGUGUGAGCAACUCCUCCCAGUUCAGCUGUUCUGCUUGACUUUGAAAAAUGGGUCCAAACAAAUUCACCGGUUUUGACUUCUAUGAAGCAGAUGCAACUCAGUGGAUUCCUUUCCCUAUUCAAACAUGGUCUUAAAUGGAUUCAAAUGUUACAUUCCAUCUUCUUGGGUUUAGAUUGAUUUGACUGAGUUAAUAUUAUUAAAUUAAUUUGACUGACACGUGUGUAAAUAAGUGUUUGUUUUGUACAAAAACUCCCCAACAAUGAUGUGAAUAUUUUUCUUGAAAGCGUGUAAUUGGACCCAUUUACCUUUUGAAUUCAGAGGGUGCCAUUUCUGCCUUAAAGUUUAGCUUUGCUCUGUGACUGUGGACCAUUUUAUUGCUUUCAACCCUUAAAAUGAAUCUAAAGACCACACUAGCGUCCCCAUGGACAUCAUAAUAGAAGCUGUAGUUGCUUUUUGCACCAUGGAGAACAAUGAACACUGACAGACCGUUCAUUGAAAAAAGUGGGGACCCAACCGACUCUGUAAACAUUUUCUAUCCCUUAUCCCUUGAAAGGGAGAUGUGUAAGAUGUCUCAAAGUAUACUAAUGUGCAUUGACUAAUAAGGAAAUAUGUUCUAAAUGCCUGAGUGGAGAGCUGAGUGGUUAACGCUGUUAAUCUUCCUAUGUCAGCUAUAGGAUGCCUGACGCUAAACCCACAGCUACACAUCUUCCUAAUGUUCCAUCGUGUGCCUAAAAUCACAUGGCUUUAAUAGGGUUGAACAGGCAGACAGUGUGGAAAAUAUGUGUAAAACCUCUUGUGCCCUUGAAAGGGUGUUUGUAUAUACAGCUCGAGACUCAUCCUGAUAUGGUCUUGUGUCUAUAUCGAUUUCUGUGUUGUGUGUGUAUACACUGCACAUUUGUUACUGCCCAGGUUUGAGGUGUGUGUGUGUGUGUGUGUGUGUGUGUGUGUGUGUGUGUGUGUGUGUGUACACUGCACAUUUCUCUUACUGCCCAGGGUUGAGGUGUGUGUGUGUGUACACUGCACAUUUCUUACUGCCCAGGUUUGAGGUGUGUGUGUUACUGAGUGGGAAAGGGCUGGCUGAGGAAAGGCACUAGAAAGGUGAUUAGAUGUUUUUGAGUGUUCAUGCUUUCCUUUGUUGUGUCUGAGUGUUUAUUUUGUAUUGUCCCAGAAUGCAGUGGGAAUUUAUGUUGAAUGUCUGUCUUUUUUUAAUUCAUUUUUUGUACUUAUAUAAUAUGACAUGAACAAAUUAAAAUAUUGUUUGGUUUCUUGAA